rnacentral:rRNA from 1 species
AUUGAACGCUGGCGGGAUGCCUAACACAUGCAAGUCGAACGAGUGGCGGACGGGUGAGUAAUGUCUGGGAAACUGCCCGAUGGAGGGGGAUAACUACUGGAAACAGUAGCUAAUACCGCAUACUAUUGGAUGUGCCCAUAUGGGAUUAGCUAGUGGGUGGGGUAAAGGCUCACCAAGGCGACGAUCCCUAGCUGGUUUGAGAGGAUGACCAGCCAAACUGGGACUGAGACACGGCCCAGACUCCUACGGGAGGCAGCAGUGGGGAAUGUUGGACAAUGGGGGAAAGCCUGAUGCAGCCAUGCCGCGUGUAUGAAGAAGGCCUUCGGGUUGUAAAGUACUUUCUGCAGAGAGGCGUUAUCCGCAGAAUAAGCACCGGCUAACUACGUGCCAGCAGCCGCGGUAAUAC